GCAACUUUGGCCUAAUGGUUAGGGCCCAUGAUUUCGGCUCAUGUGACUAGUGGUUCGAGUCCGCUAAGGUGCU
rnacentral:tRNA from 1 species